rnacentral:rRNA from 1 species
UACGUAGGGUGCAAGCGUUAAUCGGAAUUACUGGGCGUAAAGCGUGUGUAGGUGGUUGUCCAAGUUGGAUGUGAAAGCCUUGAGCUCAACUCAAGAAAUGCAUUCAGGACUGGGCGACUAGAGGACCGGAGAGGAUAGUGGAAUUCCCAGUGUAGUGGUGAAAUACGUAGAGAUUGGGAAGAACACCAGUGGCGAAGGCGGCUAUCUGGACGGUUUCUGACACUAAGACACGAAAGCGUGGGGAGCAAACAGG